CCGCCACGUGAAGGCCAUCCCUGCUUCCUGGAGGCGUGGACAGGUCUCCUUUAGUUCAGUUGUCGGCUUCAGUUCUACAAGCAUUCUCAAACGGCUGUAACAGGGAAAAAAAAGUUGCAAUUGUUAGAGUUUCGAUGUUGCUGUUUGCAAUUGGUAGGAAUUGAAAGCUGCUUUACUUUCGAUGUUAAAUGACCAUCCUGUAUGCCGCAACCAAUCCAAAAGCAAACUUAAGAAAAUGAGAACCCCCUUCACAGUACCGAGCAUGAAGACCAUGCUGCAGCGUACGGGGUUACCUACGAAAAAGCCAAACAAGGGGGAAAGACAACAGAA